AAAAAUUGACUUAACAGAAAAAAACGUGAAUUGUGGGAAAAGGCUGGAUCAGAAUCAGAAGCAUCAGUCUUUCUGGUGGCUCUUGACCUGCUGGUUUCUCAGGCAUGCUCACAGGGACACAUUCCUAAGGAUUGAUGGUCUUACAUGUGGUAAUCCUGGUGAACUGCCAUGGCCAGGACUCGGGGAUAAGAUAUUAAUGGGUUUGGA